GCAGAAGGCCACAUGCUUGGAGCAGAGCAGAGGACAUUUCCCACUUCUACACUCCACAUGGUUUUGGCCUUGCCGGAAGAGGUCACAAAGUGGCUUUGGAAUUCACUCACACAACAUGAGGGUACUUUGCACAGGUAGAGAAUGGUUGAAAUACACACUACCUGAAGCUGGAUAACUCAUGAACUCUGUUGACAAUUAUAUUCUUUGUCUUUUUAAUUAACUCAUUUGGAGUUGGUGUCCUGAGGACCUAAGCCUAAGAAUCUUCAAGAUGGAAGAGUAGAGUGAACAAUGAAUGAGCCAGAGGGCUCUUGUCCUCUGUGUGCAGCUCUGGGCAGCCAGCAGGUGGAUAUGGGACUUGGCCUGCUGGAGGGGCCCUGGCAAGAGGAGCUGGCAGGAGCAGAUGGCAAAGAUGCACAUGAAAUUUGGUGCCGUGACUCGGAUUGGGGGACCUCCCUUGGGAGAUCAAUCCCCUGUACUCCUGUUCUUUGCUCCGUGAGAAAGAUCCACCUAUGACCCUCAGGUCCUCAGACCGACUAGCCCAAGGAACAUCUCACCAAUUUUAAAUCAGGUGGAGUCUCGCACUGUCAUCCUGGCUGGAAUGCAGUGGUGCAAGCCGACUCACUGCAACCUCUGCCUCUUGGGUUCAAGUGAUUCUCCUGCUUCAGCCUCCUGAUUUGCUGGGAUUGCAGAGCAAACCAGUGAAAAAAUGGCCUUCGCACUCCUGAGAGACCUUUCACCGGGCUUUCUACUUUUGAAUUCUCUCCAUAGCUGGUUUCCUCUUAGGCCUCGAUAGAGCAGUCCCUGAAUCACACAGGUAUGCUGACUACGUCUUUUCCUGGUACAAACCAUCAUGGGGGAAACACACAGCAAGAAGCAUCUUCAGGUCACAAGAUAGGCCUUCUAAGACUGAAUUACAUCACCAGCUUUCCUGGGUCUCCAGCUUGCAGAUGGCACACUGUGGGACUUCUUAGCCUGCAGAAUCAUGUAAGCCAAUUCCCUACGUGCGUGUGUGUGUGUG
rnacentral:lncRNA from 10 species